UACGUAGGGUGCAAGCGUUGUCCGGAAUUAUUGGGCGUAAAGAGCUCGUAGGCGGUUUGUCGCGUCUGCUGUGAAAUCUGGGGGCUCAACCCCCAGCCUGCAGUGGGUACGGGCAGACUAGAGUGCGGUAGGGGAGAUUGGAAUUCCUGGUGUAGCGGUGGAAUGCGCAGAUAUCAGGAGGAACACCGAUGGCGAAGGCAGAUCUCUGGGCCGUAACUGACGCUGAGGAGCGAAAGCUAGGGGAGCAAACGGG
rnacentral:rRNA from 1 species